CUAAUCUUAUUUCCCUUGGAAGGUGAAGCAUAAUCCCUGCUCCAGAAAACAGGGAGUACUGUAUAAAUCAAGUAAUACAGUGCUGUUGGCUAGGUAUUAGUAACGUGAUGUCUUGUGAGAUUUCUUUUUCAGUGAUGAAUCACUGUCCAUAUAUUUGCAGUGAGAUUCUGACAGCAGUAAGUCUUAAGGUUGUAUCAAUUCAUUUGGUAUGUUCUCUGAGCAAGAGAGAGUUCAAGGGGGAAUGUGUGGUUUCUAGGUACUUGGAUCUAUGUAUGCUAAUAUAAAAUCCUUAUGGCAGUUUGUUGAGUAGAUUCUUACAGGGAAUUUAAUUCAAAGACAAGCAGUUAGACAAUCAUGCAAAUACACAAGUUUAAUGUAGGCUGACUGGUCUCAAGCAUUGCUUUCACAUUUUCACGCUCUGUAAGUUUUAUAUGAACUUGACUGAAUUAUGUUUUUCUGUCUUUGAAAGACGUUCAUGAGACUAGCAAUUAAGAAAAUUAAUUGUGUCUGGUGGUUUGUCUAGGUAUUUAAUUGCCUUUCAGGAACUGAGUAUCAAUUUGCUUCAAAAUUGUUUAGGAAAGAAUUGAUUCCUCCUGUUUCUGUAGUUAGCACGACAGACAGAAAGAGUUCUUGUCUGUAACUAUUGAUUUUUUUCUUAAUUGUUUGAACAGCCAUUGAUCUGGAUUUUGCUAUGGAAUCAGCAUCUGAGGCUUCAGAGCCCCAUAACACAGCACAGAGAAAGGUUUGAUAAAGGGAUGAUACCUGUCUAGCUUGUGUUAGUGAUGCUGCAUUAUUAUGAAGUCAAGACAGAAAAAUCAAUUUUCUGUUUUCAAGAAAAUACUAGUGGAAAUUACAGAAGCUGUUACACUGGAAAAUUGCAGAAGCUGUUACAGCACACUAUUGUUGCAGGUGUGACAGCAGAUUAGAACUAAAACACUGGAAAGAAGCACACUUCCUGAGCUGCUUGCCUUUAUUUUGCACACAAGCAUGAGAAUGAGUUAUGGCUAGAAAAAUAAUUUCUUCUCCAGGUUCUUGCAUAACUAUGUAAACAAAAGUUUUGUAAAAGAUUCUUCUUUCUUAUCAUCUUAUGGGUAAGAGGUAGGUAAAAGGAAAGCUUUACUGUGCCUAAAAGAAAAUGAUGGGAAUCUAGGCCUUGAGUGGUGGAGUUACUUAACCUUAUGUCAGAAUAUAUUAAACUUUAUGUUCUUCUGUUGCUUUAACUAGAGCGGCUAGCUCACUGAAAGUAGCACUACUUAGAGUACUUAUUGCUUAAAAGAGAUGCUGAAGGUAACUCAUAAAAAAUACUUCAAAUAUUUCAAUGUAUUAAAGUAUUUAAAAAAAAAAGUUUCAAUGUACUGCAGAGCCCUUCCUCUGAUAUUUUGGAUAACAGUCCUCUUUUGCAUUGAGAAUAAGACUUUGGAGAGGCUGGUGAAGAAGGCUAAGCUAACUUCCUUUUAGGCCAAGUGGUAGUGAGUGGUAAUAAUGCCAAUAGUAGACGUCAGAAUAGUUGAUCAUCAUUAUGAUAAACCUCUGAGGCCAUACUGACUUCUAGGACUGAAGUGACAAAAUGGUUUUUGUAUUUAUCUUCAAACUACCCAGCCUUUCCUUUUGUAAGCUGUAGUAAAUGUGGAGGGCAUUGGUGCUAGCUUUCUAUUUCUGGCAAGCUUGGGUGUUGUAUCUUCUGUGAAUUUAAGGCAGCUGGUAUGAGUUAUCCUCUCCAGACUCUUCCAGACUCUAAAAAAUAAUCUGUGUUGCUGUAUGAAAGUUCAUUAUUACCAUAUUGUCAGCAUGUGUUGCAGAACUGUAGAUGUUUGGGCGUGUUCAUUGCAACAGUGCCCUUAAAAAUAAGAGUUUAUCUCAAGUUCAAAAGCAAUCAGCAAGGAGUAUGGAUCAUUACCAACUGAGAUGGUUCUAAAUAUGUGAAUUUUAACUUGAGGAGAUACAAUACUGUGAUAGAAUUGGAUGGACUCUGAAACCAGUAGGAGUGUCCUCACUGUUCAUGGCUUCUGAAAAUGUUAUGAUGCCACUAUCAGUAUUUAGGCUUUUUCUGUGUGAAGGUUAUGAAAUUGCAUGUUUCUGUGAACAGAAAAAUCUGAUACACAACUAGCAUUGAUUACUGAUAUGAAGGCUGGCAAACAGGUAGUUUUUCUACACUUCAUACUUAAUUAUAAAAAUACAAAGACUGGAGAGCUGAAAUGAAGGAAUGUUUGACUAUUGGUCUUGUUCCAGUUAGCACACUUGCAUUGGCAGAUGACAGCACGCUGGUACAGUUCUGUUUCCUCUUCUGCCUGUGAUAUGCUCAGUCAGCAUGCUGACUCUUCAGCUUAAUUGCAAGUUCUAGGGAGCUCAGAACAGAUGGGAAAUUUGUUCUAAUAUUGCUAAUGCUUCUGACCCGGGUGCCCUCUAGAAACACUUAGAUCAGUGUCUGUUUCUUUGUUCAGCGGCUGUUUCUUUGCAGAACAAAAAUGGCCCUUAGACAAACCUGUGUAUUUCAUCUCAGGCACAGCUUUAAGCAGUGAUGUUCCUUUCACCUGAGCAGACUACCAACCUCAGUAGUGAAGACUAUAAGGAAUGUUUUUUUGGUGUGACAAGAAAGCUUAAACAUAUUAUUGCUGUUCUUGGAAGCAUCCUCAUGAUUUAUAAGCUCUCUCACCCACCUGGUCACUUUAGUCUUUGUGAAGGCCUCCUGUACCUUACAGAGAAUUAAAAAUCUGAUAAAGUAGCAACCAUCUCUCAGUUAUGGGAGUCCAGUUAUAAAAUACCAGUUUCUCAUAGUGGAAAAGCUUUUUUUUCGUGAGUCUUCCCCUGCAAAAGUUAGUAACUAUGUUCUUGGGGACUAGUAUCCUCCAACUUAACUGCCAUUCUUGAAGUGAUGAGUAUACAGUUCUCUACAUGAUGCGGUUAAUGAUUGCUCUUCAGGGCUCAGAGAUAAAGAUGUAAAACACUUGCCUUGUUCCCUGAUAAAGUGCUGUGCAAAACUUCCUGUGUGCCCUUUGCUAGUAGUACUGUGAUACUGGUGCAUAUCUAGCCACAAACAAUAGGAUACAGCAGCAUAACUCGCUUAGUUUUAGGUCAGUCAGCUAUCUUUUUAAGAAGAUGGUGCAAAAUAACUUGAUUUUUCUGCUUACCGUUUGUUGCAGUCACUUUUUUCACUGAGGGAUGUAUUAUGGUGGAAACACUUCUGUGUGAUAGAUUUAUCUGUGGUGGCAUGAGUAACAUGAAUACUUGGUAUAUCACGCAGACAGAUGUCACACUGUGCUGCUCCAGAGAGAUGCCCUGCUGAGAUUUAGCAGUUCUUGAAAAUCUUGGUGUAUUUUAUAGAGUCCAGAGAUUUAAAUAGUUUCAAAAACCUAAAAGUUUGCCUCACAACUGGCAUGUUUUCCCUAUGGAUUUGUUUUAAAAAGAUGAAAUUUUAGGCUUCUUUGGCAAAGAUUUGUACCUGAGCCUGAAGCUCUGUUGGCACUGUCACUUCAGAGAUAAUAAUGCUGCAACUGAAGCAGAAAGCUAUCAAGCAUAUCAUCACAGGUGGUAGCAGAAAGGUGACUUUGCUAGGAAUGUUAGCUAUCUUUUGAGCUAAUUAGGAGAUAACAACAGUAGGAUAAGAAUUACCAGUUGUUGGCUGCAGGAUUCUUAAUCUUCCAGGCAAAUACUAAAAAAAGUGGUAGUCAUCCUUUUAACUUCAGAACAGUUGUAUAGUAAUAAGCUAAGAGGGGGAGGACAAAGUGGGAGUAGCUUUAGAAUGCAGUCUGUAGCAGCUUCUCAGCUUCUUAUGUUGUUAGAAGCAGGAUCUCAUGACGAAGAAAUGACCUGGUAUUUCUGGUUCUGCAGAAUGGUAGCUCCCUUGGUUUUUCAUGCCUGUGCA